CGACCGGCGCACGGGUGAGUAACACGUAUCCAACCUGCCGAUAACUCGGGGAUAGCCUUUCGAAAGAAAGAUUAAUAUCCGAUAGCAUAUCAAGAUCGCAUGAUCUUGAUAUUAAAGAAUUUCGGUUAUCGAUAGGGAUGCGUUCCAUUAGUUAGUUGGCGGGGUAACGGCCCACCAAGACGACGAUGGAUAGGGGUUCUGAGAGGAAGGUCCCCCACAUUGGAACUGAGACACGGUCCAAACUCCUACGGAAGGCAGCAG
rnacentral:rRNA from 1 species